GACGAACGCUGGCGGCGUGCUUAACACAUGCAAGUCGAGCGGUAAGGCCCUUUCGGGGGUACACGAGCGGCGAACGGGUGAGUAACACGUGGGUGACCUGCCCUCAGCUCUGGGAUAAGCCUGGGAAACCGGGUCUAAUACCGGAUAUGACUCCAUGACGCAUGUUGUGGGGUGGAAAGCCUUGUGCGGCUGAGGAUGGGCCCGCGGCCUAUCAGCUUGUUGGUGGGGUGAUGGCCUACCAAGGCGACGACGGGUAGCCGGCCUGAGAGGGCGACCGGCCACACUGGGACUGAGACACGGCCCAGACUCCUACGGGAGGCAGCAGGUGGGGUAAUUUUGCGCAAGUGGGACGAAAGCCUGACGCAGCGACGCCGCGUGA
rnacentral:rRNA from 1 species